rnacentral:rRNA from 1 species
AUGGGAACUCCUGAGGCGCCGGCGGCAUUGGCUACCGCUGGUACCGGACAUGGAGUGCAUUCCUCCGUCAUGCCUGGUGCACCCUGGGCGUCCAAGGAGGGGCCUGUUGAAGCUCCUACAACGCCUCCUUCUGAGGUGAUGCUGCUGGGUGCGAAGGCCACGGCUGCUACUGGUGCAGCUGUUCCUUCUUUGGAUGCCCAGCUUCUGGCUCUAGGAGAGGUGCAGACCGGAGACACCAACCUUGCUGCACCUGCUGGACUGCUGCCGGGUGGUCCGGUGGUGGGUUCAGUGGUGGCGGCCCAUGGAGGACAGCGUCCUACCGUCGACGCAAAGGGCGUGGAGACAAUUCGGGGCCGUUGGAAGCGCGUCCACAGAGAGGAGCGCGAUGAGUAUGCAGUGGUGCAGUACGCCGGUGUCAAGCAUGUCGUGUUUGGCGUGCCCACUCCACCGAACAGUGGCAGCGAGCUCUCCAGCUGCAAGGCCGCGUUCGUCGGUAUCCUAGAGAACACGGUGCUGUCUAAGAGGCGGUGCCCAGAUGACCAGGACUUCAUCAUCAACAUGAAUAGCACUAGUUCUGAGAGUGUAGAUUUUUCUUCUUGUAAGAGAGCUUGUGUUGAGAGAGUUGAGGCUGUGGUAGGGGUAGAUGGGGUAGUCACUCAUGUUACUAAGGAAGUGGAUGGGGGGGAGGAAGUGUAUCAGGAAAAAAAGAGAGAAUCUGUAGGUGAGGGGAGAGCUGCUGGUGAGGCUGCUAAGGAAGCUACCAACCAUGGGGCUGUCGGUCAACUAACGGGCGUGGAUGUGAGCGCCCGUCAGGAGACAUGA